rnacentral:rRNA from 1 species
UACGAAGGGUGCAAGCGUUGUUCGGAAUUACUGGGCGUAAAGCGCGCGUAGGCGGUUUACUAAGUCAGACGUGAAAGCCCUGGGCUUAACCCAGGAAUGGCGUUUGAUACUGGUAAACUAGAGAUUCAGAGAGGUGAGUGGAAUUCCUAGUGUAGAGGUGAAAUUCGUAGAUAUUAGGAGGAACAUCAGUGGCGAAGGCGGCUCACUGGCUGAAUACUGACGCUAAGGCGCGAAAGCGUGGGGAGCAAACAGG